rnacentral:misc_RNA from 1 species
GUGAAUCAUCGAAUCUUUGAACGCACAUUGCGCCCGCCAGUAUUCUGGCGGGCAUGCCUGUUCGAGCGUCAUUUCAACCCUUAAGCCCCAGUUGCUUAGCGUUGGGAGCCUACCGGACCCCGUCCCGUAGCUCCCCAAAGUCAGUGGCGGAGCCGGCUUGACACUCCAGACGUAGUAGCUCUUACACAUCGCCUGUAGCCCAAGCCCGGCGCCCUGCCGUAAAACACCCCCCAAUGUAUAGGUUGACCUCGGAUCAGGUAGGAAUACCCGCUGAACUUAAGCAUAUCAAUAAGCGGAGGA